AUACGGGGGUGCAAGCGUUAUUCGGAUUUAUUGGGCGUAAAGGGCGCGUAGGCGGCUUGGUAAGUCAGAUGUGAAAGCCCGGGGCUUAGCCCCGGAAGUGCAUUUGAAACUAUCAGGCUUGAGUAUGGGAGAGGGAAGUGGAAUUCCUGGUGUAGAGGUGAAAUUCGUAGAUAUCAGGAGGAACACCGGUGGCGAAGGCGACUUCCUGGACCAAUACUGAAGCUGAGGCGCGAAGGCGUGGGGAGCAAACAGGAUUAGAAACCCCAGUAGUCC
rnacentral:rRNA from 1 species